CACGGGGGAGCAAGCGUUGUUCGGAAUCACUGGGCGUAAAGGGCGUGUAGGCGGUCAGGUAAGUGAGAUGUGAAAUGCCCCGGCUCACCCGGGGACCGGCAUCUCAUACUGCUUGGCUUGAGUACGGGAGAGGAUGUGGGAAUUCCUGGUGUAGCGGUGAAAUGCGUAGAUAUCGGGAGGAACACCUGUGGCGAAGGCGGCCACCUGGUUGGAUACGUGACGCUGAGACGCGAAAGCGUGGGGAGCAAACAGGG
rnacentral:rRNA from 1 species